CGUGCAGCAGGCGAGGAAUAUUGCGCAAUGGGCGAAAGCCUGACGCAGCGACGCCGCGUGGGGGAUGAAGGUCUUCGGAUUGUAAACCCCUUUCGGGAGGGAAGACGGCCUUAGACAACUAAGGCGGACGGUACCUCCAGAAGCAGCCACGGCUAACUUCGUGCCAGCAGCCGCGGUAAUACGAAGGUGGCAAGCGUUGUUCGGAUUUACUGGGCGUAAAGGGAGCGUAGGUGGUUAGGUAAGCCCUCCGGGAAAUCUUCAGGCUUAACCUGAAAAGGUCGGGGGGGACUGCCUAGCUAGAGGGCGGGAGAGGAGCGCGGAAUUCCCGGUGUAGCGGUGAAAUGCGUAGAGAUCGGGAGGAAGGCCGGUGGCGAAGGCGGCGCUCUGGAACGUUUCUGACACUGAGGCUCGAAAGCGUGGGGAGCAAACAGGAUUAGAUACCCUUGUAGUCC
rnacentral:rRNA from 1 species